rnacentral:lncRNA from 10 species
GCCACUCCUAGCUAUGUAACCAAAUGAAAAGUACACAUGUGCUCCGAGAGACACACACGGGAAUAUUCAGAACCUUUUCUGUAAUAGCUAUAAACUGAAAGCAGCACAUGUCCAACAGGAAAAUGAAUAAACAAAUACAGCAUAUUCAUACAAUAGAAUCCUAUACAGAGCAACUAAAAUAACAGCUAGAGGCAACAACACGGAUGGAUCUUACAAGCCUGAUGUGGAACAAGAGAAGCCUGUCCAGAGACUAAGUGAAUGGAUUUAUGUGGUAUGCAAAAACAGGCAAAACCAAAUCAUAGUGUUUUGGGAGGUAUGCUUACAUAGUAAAGCUCUGAAGGAAAACAAAGAAAAGGCGACUAAAGAGAAUGACAACUUACACAAUGCAGAAUCCUGGAUUGGAUCCUAGAUCCAAUCAACGUGUAGGGAUGCUGAUCCCACUCCAAGUCUAGAACAUCAUUCACAUCUUGGACAGCAAAUUUCACAUACUGAUGAAGGCGCCGAAUUUCCUAUAAGAAAAAAAUUAAAAGUCAUUCUGCAAAAUCUACAAGUGGAUAGCGCACCACCACUACCUGGGCCCACUGUGUCCCUGCAAGAAAGACAACGUGAAAGAAGGUUCUUGUAUGCAAAGGCAUACCGGUAGUAGAGCCAUCACCACAUCUGGAGACGUUUCCAGGGUCCCAUCUGCAGCAGCAUACACUAUGGCGAAGACGUAGGUACCAAUCCACAGCACAUCCAGAACUGAAAGACACAUCUUAAUCAGUAGCUCAUAAAAAUGACAGCAACCAGAUACAAGAAAAAGCAGCUUAUGUUUGGAAUAGCCACUAUGGAUAAAAAAAAAAUCAAAGGCCCUGAUUUCAUUGACUAAAUAUAAU